GACGAACGCUGGCGGCGUGCCUAAUACAUGCAAGUUGAGCGCUGAAGGUUGGUACUUGUACCGACUGGAUGAGCAGCGAACGGGUGAGUAACGCGUGGGGAAUCUGCCUUUGAGCGGGGGACAACAUUUGGAAACGAAUGCUAACACCGCAUAAAAACUUUAAACACAAGUUUUAAGUUUGAAAGAUGCAAUUGCAUCACUCAAAGAUGAUCCCGCGUUGUAUUAGCUAGUUGGUGAGGUAAAGGCUCACCAAGGCGAUGAUACAUAGCCGACCUGAGAGGGUGAUCGGCCACAUUGGGACUGAGACACGGCCCAAACUCCUACGGGAGGCAGCAGUAGGGAAUCUUCGGCAAUGGACGAAAGUCUGACCGAGCAACGCCGCGUGAGUGAAGAAGGUUUUCGGAUCGUAAAACUCUGUUGGUAGAGAAGGACGUUGGUGAGAGUGGAAAGCUCAUCAAGUGACGGUAACUACCCAGAAAGGGACGGCUAACUACGUG
rnacentral:rRNA from 1 species